UCUAAUUAGACCUAACGCCACAUAACAGGAGCAUUCCUCCACUUGACUCCCGUUCAGCCAUUUCCAUGGACAAUAGUAGGAAAAGAAGCUGAAGAGUACGUUUUGUCCGAGCAAAAAGUGUCAAGCUCUGAUGUGUUGUUGAAAUAAGAGAAGCCAAGUAUGUAAAUCUAGUAAGGUAUCACGGUGGGGCCAAGGAGAGAGGGAUGGGGUAUUACUCUGGGUGUGUCAUUCAGUGCAAUGCUUGUCCCCAGGUGUGCAGUGUAGGGGAGCGUGAGCACCUGCCAGGCCGCUCACAGUGAUAGAGCCCUCAAGAAGACUAAGAAGCUGUGUUGCCGAGGACCAGAUCCAGCAGCUCAGAUGAGGAGGCGUCACGGUUCAGGGAGGCGUGUGACCCCACCCUGUGGAGGACGGCCGCGCAGGGAGCCGCCAAGAAUGAAAUCUGCAGAGCGGAGGCAUCUGAUGAGAAGCCCCAGCCAAGGCGACCAGAGGCAGGCCUUCAUGCUGCUGGAGAAGAUGCGCACAACCCUUGCCGAGGCGCAGGGCAAGGCAGGGUGUAUGGGGCUGAGGCACAAGGAUGGCCAUGGCCCCGGCACACAGGGCAGGCCAUCGUCAGGCAGGGCAGAGGCCAGCACAGCGAGGGUGGCCAUGGCUGCCCCAUCCACACUCACCCUACCCGGCCAAGCAGCUCACUUCAAGACUGGACGGGAGUGUGGAGUACCAGGUUGACCAGGAGCACAGACUGACCAAGGAUGGCAGUGGUGUGGGUGAUGGUGGUGGUGGUGGCCAGCCCCUCCAUCAUCCCCUCCGCCUCCUGACUAACCUGCCGCUCGCCCCUCAAGGCAUCACUGACCCCACACACGCAGCAGCCAGAAGGAGCAGGCCGGACAGAAUUCCCAAGACUCUCCUACUUUGACGGCUGUGAUGCGGAACUGGCGGUGGCUGAGUGCUUAGCGUGGACGAUGCGGGUUCGAAUCCGCUUCUACCACCUGGGAUUUUCCAGUCACCGCCGAGUGGCCUACGACUACCCACAUGUUGUCCUGAAGACCACCCAUCAACCCGGACUCUAGAGGAACUGUCCAAUGACCAAGUGGUGUGUUGGUGCCUACCUCUGGCUGGCCGGCUGUUGUGAUAGAAUUAUGAAGAGCAAGCAGACAGCGCUGAAAGAACGGGGACUUCUUCUUCUUCCACAAACAUCUGCCGAUGAGAGAGUGAAGCGAUGAAUAACAGGGCACUGAAUAACAGGUAGCCACGCCCUGUAGAUUUUGUGUGACAUUUAUAAGAAGAACAUAAAAGCAUAAGAACAUAGGGAGACUGCAAGAGGCUGAAUGGCCUACACAGGGCAGCACCAGAUUCCCCCCACCGCCACCUGUCAUCCUCGUCCAUGUAGCUAUCAAGUCUACUCAUAAAAUAAGCUGUCAUCCCUGCACUCACUAGUAUGUGAUUGCUGAGUCUAUUCCAUUCCCCCAUCACCCUAUUACUCAUAGCUGGGCGUUAUCGCGAUAAGUUAUCGCAAUACUUUAUCGCUGAUAACAAAAUCGGGUUAUCGGCCAUCCGCUACUUAUUUAAAUAUAUAUCGGUAUCUUCGUUAGUUUUGUAACCAAACUGGCGAUAAUCGCUACUUUUUUCCGACUCAGAAAAAAAACGUUGUCUCCUCCCUACACGUGGCCCGGGCGCCCGGUGUUGUAUGAAAAAACUUCGGGGUAUGAAAUAUCUUCGGUGAAGAUAUUUCAUACUUUGAUCAUCACCAUUAAAACACUAUAGGUUAUUUUUUUUUUUAUGUAAGACUCAAAAAUCAAUAUAUCAAAAAGAAAAAUCAUUUAACUUUGCCCCCCAAAAUUAUUAUUCAGUGCCUCAAAUUUGAUAUUCCAUAUUCGUUUGUGAGCAUGCCAUGGUAUUGAAGGCACCCGGUGUUGUGUUAUUUGGUGUCCCAUCGUCAAAUGUUGGCGCUUUUGUUUACAAAUACUGGUCUCUCGUGAACUACGCAUGUUCACACCAGUAAGUGUAGCCCUAUAGAGUCUCACAAAGCUUUUUAACACAUUAAGACAUACAGUACCACCAUCCUCGCUGUUUCUAAAACGGCACUCUGUACAUAUAAAUACAACUCGCACAGAGUGUCGUUCUAGAAACAGCGGGGAUGGUGGAAGUGGUACUGUAUGUCUGAUUCAGCCUUCCAGCAACUCUUAAUUACGGUUAAAAAGCUAUGUGAGAUUGUACAGGUCUACGCUUGCUGGUCUGAGCAUGCACAGUUCAUGAGAGACCAGUGUUUGUAAACAAAAGUGCCAACAUUUGACGGUGGGGGCGCCAAAUAACACAACACGGUUCAGACGUUUCUAGUAUUACCGUCCAUAGGUACGUGUCAACUUGUGGUUUUCAGGUUUUGUAAGUUUUCUAAAAUACAAGUAAUGAAAAUUUGAAUUCAUCUUAUGUUUUUUUAUUGGAAAUAAUAUAGUAUCAUUUUCGCCUAUCGGACUUAUCGCUAUCGGAAUUGUGGAUUAAUAUCGGGUAUCGGUUAUCGAUUAUCGCCUAUAUUUGUGUUUCCAGUUAACGAAUAUCGGUUAUCGCCGAUAAGGUUUUCCAUUAUCAGUUAUCGGUUAUCGGGAAUAAGGUUUUCUGUUAUCGUGCCCAGCUAUGCUAUUACUAAACCAAGGCCUGCCUAUUUCCCUCCUAAUUCUAUACUUUUCUAAUUUAAAUCCAUUACUGUGUGUUCUAUGCCUGUUGCCAGCACGUCAUCUGGGAGACACACUCGGGCGACAGUGUAAGCAGCAAGCCUUCCAUUUAGUGAGCCUGUGUUACGAAAUCAGCUUAACCUUUAGACGGCUACAGGAACAAAGAAGAUGCCAUAAAAAUUGCACUGGUGUGAAGAUCAAACCCCAGGAUCACAUCAGACUUUCUGUUCAGUAUUCAGCCAGUCAGUUUUGUGAGGCAGAAAUAAAACAACACUUCAAGAUUGUGAUUGAAUCUAUAUAUAAACAAUAGUUAAAACAUCUCUUAUGUGGUGUAACUAUUUAUGCUGCGGUCCUAAGGUCGGCAGUGACUAUAUACAGACCAUUCAUUUUGGGGAGCUUUUCUUCUAAUACUGCCGCCAUCUGAGUUAAUCUGCAUGAUAAACCCACGGAUCAUUUUUUAUAUAGUACAAACAUUCCUAUCAUUUCUAAAAACAACUUCCAGUGCAGUAAACAACACCUUUUGCAUCUACAGUCAUGCCUUGGUUUAUGAGUCCAAUUCGUUCUGGAAUUUUGCUCGCAAAUCAAAACACUUGUAAGACAAAACAAAUUUCCAUUGAAACUAAUGUGAAUCCCAUUAAUGUGUCCCAUAUCCAAAAAAAUAUUAACAUAAAAAUCAUUUUACAUGUUAUUUUACACAGAAUGAAGAUAAUUUUACAAACAACUAGCAAUGAUAAUCAAUAUUUUUUUUAUAAUAUAGUAUAAUAAUAUAGCAUAAUAUCUAAAGAAUAUAGUGCUGAAAACACAAAGAUCGCACACUAGAGCACAAACGUACGCGGACAGGAGCGCGCGGUGCUACCCUUUAGAGUGUGCAAAGUGGACUAAGGCGGUGUCACACUGGGCGUUUUCCUCCAGCCCUUGGAGCAAGAAGCAACCGUGGUUGCCUGUACGGUCAACCGGGAGCGAGUUGUUGGUUUGGGUAAAUACUCCUGUCCUCCCGUCUCUGAAGCCAUGAUCGUACCCACAACGGCUUCUUCCUUCCAAUAAACUAUAGCGACAAGCUUAAAGUUUGAGUGACAGCAGCACAAGCCAUAACAGCUCUUACUUUUGCAUACGGUGCCGUGAAGAGUGGACCGAGAGGAGGAGGACCUAAGAAGCGAUACAAAGUGUUACAGGUCCAAAGAAGAAGAUGUGAAUACAGGUUGACUGGUUUGUUUACGUUGUGGAUAUGGGCAGCCGAUCUUGGUCGUGUGUGACGCACGUCACCUGGUAAUCAAGAAUUACCCCCCUUUCUUGAGACUGUUUUCCAUCUCCCCUGUGAUCCACCAGAGUGCUCUUUCUUGUCCAUAUAACUAGAUGAACCAACACAGUUUCUCAUUUUGUCACUCGUCAAGGACAAUACGCAUUGGUUUAGUCACAAUUAUGAGAUCUCCAGUUCAUUAGGAACCUUUCUCUUGCUACUUUGCGUCACUGCAUGCGAAGGAAUUUUUCAAAACGUCCUUUUCUCAACAAAAUACCGACCGAUGGCAUCGCUUCACUUUCUUGUUUCUAAUGAUGACGAUGAUGUUUUCAUAGCGGAAAGUUCUUACUUAUCCUUCAGUGAUGCUUUCAAAUGGUCUGUGGCGCAGCAGUAACACAACAGUAACAUCGUGAACUCUGUAUGCACUCCCACCUGGCAGGGUUACUCGUAAGAAUCUCAGGAAAUGGUCAUCGCCUUUGGCCUAAGGAGGUGCGGUGCGGUGUGUUUACCUGUGUCGCCAGCCCCGCAGCGGCUUGUGCCACACCCCCGAUUCUUGCCAAGAAUUGGAGGGACUUCUUGAAAAUCUGACACACGAGAACAAGAAACGCAAGGAUUUCUCAGGAUCUGGGUAAGUCUUGAUCGCCAGAUAACGGCUUAAAGUUGUAGUUGCCUGUUGCGCUUGCCACCAACACGGCUGGAGGAAAAAGGCCAUGUGUGAUACCAGCUUGAGACCCUAUUCCCAUUGUUUUCCGCUCUGAGCGCUCUUGUCUUGCUGCGAACAACGGGAGCCCACGCUCACGUCUCGACUUGUACGAACAGGAUGCUCGUACGCCAAGUCACCGCUCGUAAACCAAGACAUUUUUGUGAUUUUCUUUUGCUCAUAAAUCAAAACGCUCAUAAAGUAAGGCACUCGUAAACCAAGGUGUGACUGUAUUUGGUAGUUCCUCGCUCCUCUUGUCAUUAUUAUCUUAGAGAUGAAUCAUAUUUGCCGGCACUGAAGAUGUCCUUUCUUUCUUAAAAUAAGACUUGAAAAAUUAGCAUGCUGUGCACCAUUACAAGCUUGUCAUGCUGGUGGUGAGGCUGACCCUGAUUGUGCACCCCACAGGAGAGGCUGAAGGCACAGUGCAGGGCUGUGGCGGUGCCCUCAGAGUGGAUUCUGUCUGGGCAGGCGGUGCACCCCAGGCCACACCCCAAGAACGUCAGGUAUUUGGAGGAGUCCAAGGUGAAGGAACGGUGCGCCGACGGAACCAUUGUAGCCGUGCCGUGCUCCCUGCCAGACAACAUCAACACCAACACCACUGCAGGGAAAAAGAAGAAAAAGAAAUGUGUGGUGUGUGUGUCUCAGGCUGGGAAGGAAGACGCCACAUUAUCACACCAGGAGGAAUCACUCAAUAGCCUUCAGAACGAUGGUGUCAGUGAGGGUUCAAGGACAAAGAGGCGAGGUGUGGUUUGUGUGUUUCAGGCUGGGAAGGUAGACAGUGUAUUAUCACACCAGGAGGAAUCACCCAAUGGCCUUCAGAACGGUGGUGUCAGUAAGGGUUCAAGGACAAAGAGAAGGAGAGGUGAGGUGUGUGUGUCUCAGGCUGGGGAGGAAGAGGAAGGAACUGUACAGGAGAAGCAGGAGGAAGCACUUAAUGGCCUCACGAAUGGUGGUUCUGGCUCAAGUACCGACGUGAGGAAGCAGAGGAAGCAAACUCGAAGGAGAGGGAAGAAGAAGAAGUUGAAGGGAGGCGAUGAAGCGGCUGUACCUAAGAGGAAGAACAGGGAUGAAUAGCACAUGAAAAAACACUAGUUACCCCUCACAAUGGCAGCAGUGGCUCAAGUACUGACGUGAGGAAACAGGAAGCAAACCCAAAGGAGAGGGAAGAAGUUGAAGGGAGGUGAUGAAGUGGCCGUACCUUAGAGGAAGAACAGGGACAGAUAGAACAUGAAAAAGCACUAGUUACCCCUCACAGUGGCAGUGUUGGCUCAAGUAUUGACAUGAGGAAACAAACCCGAAGGAGAGGGAAAAAGAAGAAGCUGAAGGGAGGCGAUGAAGUGGCCGUACCUUAGAGGAAGAACAGGGACAGAUAGAACAUGAAGGAAGAAGAAAACACUAGUUACCCCUCACAGUGACAGCACUAGUGAAAGGAAGAGCAAGAAGGUGGAACAGGGAGUUAUGUGGCUUGUGUGUGUUAAACUUAUGGAGGCACACACUACAGGGUUUGAACAGGAAGAAAUGCUUACCUCACAAUGACAGCACUAGUGAAAGGAAGAGAAAGAAGACAAAACAGAGGGAGUGUAGUGUGGCUUGUGUGUGUUGAACUUAGAAGGAACACACUGCAGGUUUGAACAAAGAAAAACACUUACUGACGAUGGCUGAGUGGUCGGUGCCUGGAUGCCAUGACCCCAAGGACCCAGGCUCAAGUCCCUCCGCAAGACACUGACAAUUCUUAAACAUCGGCGAGUGGUGGAAUAUUACCCACAUGCUGCCCAGGUCUUCAAUCAACCCUGACUUCAGCGACUUCGGUCAAGAGGUCAAGAGGUGGGCAGCAUGGUCCAAGCAGAGUCAUACAUCACAGCAGCCACUAUAAAUUAAAUUCGCCUGUGCCACGAACGGACUGGGGUCUUCCAAGUGGUCCCUCGAGAGAGCCUACUGGUGCUAUAGGCAGAGGAGAAGGAAGAGGAAAAAUGAAAAGAGGAAGAAUUCUGUGGCACUGGUGAAGGAGCAGGAGGAGGAAGAGGAUAAAAAUGGUGAAGGAGCAGGAGGAGGAAGAGGAUAAAAAUGGUGAAGGAGCAGAAGGAGGAAGAGGAUAAAAAUGGUGAAGGAGCAGAAGGAGGAAGAGGAUGAAAAUGAAAGAUAAAGAAAUCUGCAGCUACAAUGGAAGAGAGAAAACACAGAAAAAGAGACACAUGAAGAGACUGAAGGAAAGGGAAUGGACAGUUACGACAAGAAGAAGCACUUAAUAGUCCUUAUAAUGGUGGCACUGCUGAAGAAUAAGAAGGAAGAGGAAGAAAGGAAAGAGAAGGAAAUAUGUACCUUGUGAUUUUGGGCUGUGAAGAAGCUGAAGGAAGGCAAAGUAAUGGCAGGACCUUGAGGGAAGAGAACAGACAGUCAAUUACAACAAGAAGAAGCACUUACUAAUCUACAGAAUGGUGGCACUGCUGAAGGAGAAGAAGGAAGAGGAAAAAUAAAAGAGAAAGAAAUCUGUGCCUUGUGAUUUUGGGCCGUGAAGAAGCUGAAGGAAGGGAAAGUAAUGGCAGGACCUUGAGGGAAGAGAACAAACAGUCAAUUACAACAAGAAGCACUUACUAAUCUACAGAAUGGUGGCACUGCUGAAGGAGAACACAAUGGAACACAAAGGAAGAACAAACAACAGCAGACCUGCUGGUCCUUACAAGGCUGUUUGUGACAAGCUACACUAACCAUCUAAUCAAAGGUGGAAGAUGAAGGACAGCAAAGGCGAAGGCUCCUCCCCACCCCCCCAUCCCUCCAGCCAAAGCUGGCAGGAAAGGAAAAAGAACCAUGCAGCAUGGAAACACUGCAUGGAAAUUAUGUAGGAAAGAGGAAAGAACUACCAUUACUGCUACCACUAACCGGGCGAUAAAAGCGGACAAGGACAAGAGGAAAGAAGGAAGAAGAGGAAAAAGGAAAGAGAAAGAAAUCUGUGCCUUGUGAAUUUUAUUUUAUUUUAUUAUUUUUAUUUUUUAUUUAUUUAUUAUUUUUUUUUUACAGCAAAGGAGACAGUUCAAGGGCACACAAAAAACAAACAUUAAUAAAAAAAAAGCCCGCUGCUGUGACAGUUACAAUAGGAAUUACACUUACUCUCCUUCACAGUGCUGGCAUGUGCUCAAAUUAUGACACACAAAGGAAACAGUCGCCUUACAAACACUUCUCCCUCCCUCUCAGCCAAACACUGUCAUGGAGCCAUCUGGUCCCAUAAAGCACUAGUAUUUUUAGAAUGGCAAAAACAUGUAUAAUGAGCUCACAGCGAAACAGUGUGCGUGACCUUUUGUAUACUCGGACUUUUGUCGCGGCAGAAAACAAACAUGAUAUACAGACAAACAGACAACAUGAAAGGAAGGCGAUGAAAGGCGGUCCCUUCAACUUGACAGGGGUGGAAGGAAGUGUGAGAGGUGAAGAAGGAAGGAGAAAGAGAACAUCCCAUCACACUGCCCUUCACAACACUGGUGCUAAGAAAAGACAAAGAAGAAAAGUAAAAUAAGAAAGAAAGGUGUAGCUUGUGGCUCUCAGGAAUGUUAGUUAGGCUGUGACACUUGCAAUAGAGAAAACACUUUAGUGGUGGCGUGGACUCAAGUUCUGACUCGCACGAAGAACAGCUGAAACAAAUGUGAAAUAAAGUAUGUGUGUGUGUGUGUGUGUGUGUGUGUGUGUGUACCUAUUUCCAGUAUACAGGGCCUCAGCUCAAGCAUGGUCAGUCCUGUCUCCCAAUCUAUAUUUGUCUAGCUUUUUCUUCAUUUUCUGGUCACUGCCCGCUUCAACAAGGUCUUUGCUUAGUCCAUUCCAUGUAUCCACACUCCUGUAUGUAAAACUGCAUGUCUUUCAAACAAGUCCCCUUUCUCAAUUUCUUACUGUGUCCUCUUAGUUGCCUCCUCCCUUCCAUCGCAAUUAAAUCAUUUCUAUCCAACACUUCCAUGCCACUCGUAUUCUCUCAUAAAAAUUACAUCUCAUCCCUUCUCCAUUUUCAUACAAGACUAACCAUCAUAUUUUUUUAACAUUUCGGCGCCCAAGCACACAGAUUCAACAAGGCUUUCGUAUGAGUUGUAGGAGGCAUUUCCAGGGAUAGUUUCAUGGCCCUGGUGGUAGUUUGACCCUUCUUCUGUAACAGGAACUUGAAAUACCACCCUUUAGA